rnacentral:rRNA from 1 species
UAGGAAAGAAAUCGUUAAGGGCGUAUGGCGGAUGCCUAGGCUUUCAGAGGCGACGAAGGACGUGGUAAGCUGCGAAAAGCUCGGGGGAUUGGCACACACGAAUUGAUCCCGAGAUGUCCGAAUGGGGCAACCCGGCAUGUUGAAGACAUGUCACCCAGCAAUGGGAGCAAACCCGGAGAACUGAAACAUCUAAGUACCCGGAGGAAAAGAAAUCGAAGAGAUUCCGUAAGUAGUGGCGAGCGAAAGCGGAUUAGCCCAAAAGUCUUUAUAUAUUUAGAGGAAUGUUCUGGAAAGAACAAUCAAAGAAGGUGAUAAUCCUGUACUCGAAAGGUAUAUAUAGAUGAUAAAUGAGUAUGGCGGGACACGUGAAAUCCUGUCUGAAUAUGGGGGGACCAUCCUCCAAGGCUAAAUACUCCUGAAAGACCGAUAGUGAACAAGUACUGUGAAGGAAAGGUGAAAAGCACUUCGAAUAGAAGGGUGAAAUAGAACCUGAAACCGUACGCCUACAAGCGGUCGGAGCACCUAUAUGGUGUGACGGCGUGCCUUUUGCAUAAUGAGCCUACGAGUUAAUUUUACUAGCGAGGUUAAGGUAUUAAGUACCGGAGCCGGAGCGAAAGCGAGUCUGAAUAGGGCGGAUAGUUAGUAGGAUUAGACGCGAAACCUUGUGAUCUACCCAUGGGCAGGUUGAAGCUUUGGUAACACAAAGUGGAGGACCGAACCGGUUGACGUUGAAAAGUCUUCGGAUGACCUGUGGGUAGGGGUGAAAGGCCAAUCAAACUGGGAGAUAGCUCGUACUCCCCGAAAUGCAUUUAGGUGCAGCGUCGAUAUAUAGUUUAUUAGAGGUAGAGCUACUGAUUGGAUGCGGGGGUUUCAUCGCCUACCAAUUCCUGACAAACUCCGAAUGCUAAUAAAUGAUGAUCGGCAGUGAGGGCAUGGGUGCUAAGGUCCAUGUCCGAGAGGGAAAGAACCCAGACCAACAGCUAAGGUCCCCAAAUAUAUGCUAAGUUGAAGCAACGCGGUUGAACUGCAUUGACAGCUAGGAUGUUGGCUUGGAAGCAGCCAUUCAUUUAAAGAGUGCGUAACAGCUCACUAGUCGAGCGGUUCGGCAUGGAUAAUAAUCGGGCAUAAGCAUAUUACCGAAGCUAUGGAUUUAUAAUUUAAUUAUAUCUGGUAGGGGAGCAUUCUGUUUGCGCCGAAGCAGUAUCGUGAGGUAUUGUGGAGCGGACAGAAAAGAAAAUGUAGGCAUAAGUAACGAUAAAGGGGGCGAGAAACCCCCUCACCGAAAGACUAAGGUUUCCUCAGCCAUGCUAAUCAGCUGAGGGUUAGUCGGGACCUAACGC